rnacentral:rRNA from 1 species
GAUGAACGCUGGCGGCGUGCCUAAUACAUGCAAGUCGAGCGAACAGACGAGGAGCUUGCUCCUCUGACGUUAGCGGCGGACGGGUGAGUAACACGUGGAUAACCUACCUAUAAGACUGGGAUAACUUCGGGAAACCGGAGCUAAUACCGGAUAAUAUAUUGAACCGCAUGGUUCAAUAGUGAAAGACGGUUUUGCUGUCACUUAUAGAUGGAUCCGCGCCGCAUUAGUUAGUUGGUAAGGUAACGGCUUACCAAGGCAGCGAUGCGUAGCCGACCUGAGAGGGUGAUCGGCCACACUGGAACUGAGACAGGGACCAGACUCCUACGGGAAGCAACAGUAGGGAAUCUUACGCAAUGGGGGAAAGCCUGACGGAGCAACGCCGCGUGAGUGAUGAAGGUCUUCGGAUCGUAAAACUCUGUUAUUAGGGAGGAACAAAUGUGUAAGUAACUGUGCACGUCUUGACGGUACCUAAUCAGAAAGCCACGGCUAACUACGUG